rnacentral:lncRNA from 1 species
UGUGAGUAGACCUCCAUGCAAGUACUCUCGUUCGAUUGUGUUCAGUGAACUCAUUCCCUUAAUGAGCACCUGCAUACUUGUCUUAGUGUCAUUACACGAAUGGGAUGAGACUUUCCAUCCUUCCAAUUGAAGCGGACAUAGUAUGUACCGGUCUAUGCAUUGUCAGUUUCCCUCCGACAAUCCUAUGACCAGGAACCUUUUGGACAUGAUGAUUAUGUGAAGAAGGUCUCUGUAGUCUAACAUCAUUAGAUUACUUCUUCAAUCGAUCCAUUGUCCAUGGAUUCA